rnacentral:ncRNA from 1 species
CGGAAGGGAUAACCGCUGAAAGCAUCUAGCGGGAAGCCUGCUUCAAGAUGAGGUUUCCACCACCCUCGUGGUGGGAAGGCCCCCAGCAGACCACUGGGUUGAUAGGCCGGACGUGGAAGCGCGGCAACGCGUGGAGCUGACCGGUACUAAUUGGCCGACAACUUGCCACA